UACGGGGGGGGCAAGCGUUGUUCGGAAUUACUGGGCGUAAAGGGUUUGUAGGUGGCUUGUUAAGUCAGACGUGAAAUCCCUCAGCUUAACUGGGGAACUGCGUCUGAUACUGGCGAGCUUGAGUGCAGGAGAGGAACGCGGAAUUCCAGGUGUAGCGGUGAAAUGCGUAGAUAUCUGGAGGAACACCGGUGGCGAAGGCGGCAUCCUGGACCGGCAUUGACGCUGAGGCGCGAAAGCCAGGGGAGCAAAGCGGG
rnacentral:rRNA from 1 species